GGAGCCUUCCUACCCUCCAGCUGAUCAGCUCGGUGCUGGCUUCAAAAUCACUGAGGGUGCCCUUCAUCUCCUCAUGCAGAUUGUUGAUAAAGAUAUUAUUUAAGACUGUCCCCAGUACUGAGCCCUGGAGAUACCACUUGUGACCAGUUGCCAACUGGAUUUAACUCCACUCACCACCAUUCUCCGGGCUGGGCCAUCCAGACAGGUUUUUAGCCAGAAAACAGUGUACCCUCCAAGCCUUGAGCAGCCAGUUUCUCCAGGAAAAUGCUAUGGGAAACAAUGAAACACUACCAAGCAACAUAAGCAGCUAAAACAACCUCUGCAGAUCUUGGGGCAACUUACAACAAAACAACUUUUCAUCACCAUCAGGACUGCCUCUUGCGAGAAGUGGAAUGGAGUUGUUCAUAAAACUAAAACUGAA